GGUGUCCACUUGGAGAAUGCUCUAUAGCCUACCCAAUGAGCCAGGACUGCUGUUGCACAAGAACUUGCUCGUCAAGGGUCUAGAGAAUGCUCUAUAGCCUACCCAAUGAGCCAGAACUGCUGUUGCACAGGAACUUGCUCGUCAAGGGUCUUUGUGUGGUCAUACUGCGCUUGACAAUCAUAGUACGUAUCAGAUAGUGCUUACCACGGUGCCUCAAUGUACCAUGUGAGGCAAUUACACUCCUGUAACAGGUACAUCAGGCUUAUGCGGGGAGAUAUUUGUGUCCAGAUGUACGAGUGUUUUCUUGUCGUGUGCAUAUUUGCUGUCAAAUCCCUGGUGCUUGUAUAAAUAGCUGGUGGUCUCUUAUAAUUUCAUACUCGCUUGCGCAGGUUCCUCUGUAACUCAAUCGUUGCAAAGCGUCACGGUUAUUUAUGCGUCUUUGAAACAGAGCAGCAGCUUCAAUCCGUGUGACGUGAUCGUUUGGUGUCGUGGACGUUUCUUUUGUUGUGCGCCACGUGGGCUGAUGCUGUAGAGGCUACCUGUCGAACGUGUCAGCAAGAAAGCCACCAUGACUCGCAUGUUUAUUUUAGUGUACUCUGAUGACUGCUCAUUGGUUUUUUAUGUCUCAUGAAAGUGCUGCCGAGUGGCCAGGCGUACUGUGACACGGCAUAUACUAGGCCCAUGUUGUUUCAUGUAAAUCUUCCCACUACGCGGACAGUCUGCUGCUGUGCAACUUUGGUGAGCUAGUAUUUAGUAUAAAGAGAGAGCCUGUGCUUGCAGCAUGGCAUUACAGUACUUCUGUUAUUGUGAUGGCAAGAGUUGGUACGUUGCGUCAUUUGAUUUGCCUUGCUGUGUGGCCAGCACAACCGCCCUUGUUUUAGUGUUUUAUACUUUAUAAUAUUAAGAGAUAUAGUUAUUUUCAUAUACAUGUUAAAAGAAGCUUUCUUCUUUCUUUUUUUCUUUUUUUAAGCAGAGAUUUGUGGUCCUGCCGUGUUUUUAAAAUUUUAAAUGUCUGGCUGCUGUUUGCAGCACAUUCCGCUAUUGCAACGGCCCACAUUGGGAGCGAUGAUUCCGGUUGACUGAUUGAUACAUGCUUUUAGUGGUGCCAGCUGUUGUCUGCUGUAACCUGGCUGUUUUGCAUCUAAACACUGCAUGAUCAUGUUGUGGAGUGCGUCUGUUUCUAGUCACUCUGCUGAUGACAGACAGCCAUUGCAUGUGAAUGGCACAUUGUUUUAUAGCUCCAGUCAAGCGAGCUGUCAACGAGACAAAACCCAUGCAGUGAACAGCAUUGCUAGGUCAUGGAAAAAUAAACACACCGAUACUUUUC
rnacentral:lncRNA from 1 species